AACGAACGCUGGCGGCAUGCCUAACACAUGCAAGUCGAACGAGACCUUCGGGUCUUGUGGCGCACGGGUGCGUAACGCGUGGGAACCUGCCCUUAGGUUCGGAAUAACUCCCCGAAAGGGGUGCUAAUACCGGAUAAUGUCUUCGGACCAAAGAUUUAUCGACUUUGGUUGGGCCCGCGUUGGAUUAGCUAGUUGGUAGGGUAAAAGCCUACCAAGGCGACGAUCCAUAGCUGGUCUGUGAGGAUGAUCAGCCACACUGGGACUGAGACACGGCCCAGACUCCUACGGGAGGCAGCAGUGGGGAACAGUGGACAGUGGGCUAAAGCCUGAUCCAGCAAUGCCGCGUGAGUGAUGAAGGCCGUAGGGUUGUAAAGCUCUUUUACCCGGGAUGAUAAUGACAGUACCGGGAGAAAAAGCUCCGGCUAACUACGUG
rnacentral:rRNA from 1 species